AAGGAAAUUAGGUUAAACAGACCAAGGGCCUUCAAAGCCCUAAGCAAAUAAAAUACUAUUUAUUUCCUG
rnacentral:tRNA from 1 species